rnacentral:rRNA from 1 species
UACGUAGGUGACCAGCGUUGUCCGGAUUUACUGGGCGUAAAGAGCGCGCAGGCGGUCGUUCAAGUCGAGUGUGAAAGCCCCCGGCUCAACUGGGGAGGGUCAUUCGAUACUGAUCGACUGGAAGGCAGGAGAGGGAAGCGGAAUUCCCGGUGUAGUGGUGAAAUGCGUAGAUAUCGGGAGGAACACCAGUGGCGAAGGCGGCUUCCUGGCCUGUUCUUGACGCUGAGGCGCGAAAGCUAGGGGAGCGAAAGGG